CUACGGGGUGCUGCAGUGAGGAAUAUUGCACAAUGGGGGGAACCCUGAUGCAGCAACGCCGCGUGGAGGAUGACGCAUUUCGGUGUGUAAACUCCUUUUAUAUGUCAAGAAAAUGACGGUAGCAUAUGAAUAAGCACCGGCUAACUCCGUGCCAGCAGCCGCGGUAAUACGGAGGGUGCAAGCGUUACUCGGAAUCACUGAGCGUAAAGGACGCGUAGGCGGGUUGGAAAGUCAGGUGUGAAAUCCUACAGCUUAACUGUAGAACUGCACUUGAAACUUCUAAUCUAGAGUAUGGGAAGGGGAGAUGGAAUUAGUGGUGUAGGGGUAAAAUCCGUAGAUAUCACUAGGAAUACCUAAAGCGAAGGCGAUCUCCUGGAACAUUACUGACGCUAAGGCGUGAAAGCGUGGGGAGCAAACAGGAUUAGAUACCCUAGUAGUC
rnacentral:rRNA from 1 species